rnacentral:rRNA from 1 species
UACGGAGGGUGCAAGCGUUAUCCGGAUUCACUGGGUUUAAAGGGCGCGUAGGCGGCCAGCACAAGUCAGUUGUGAAAUCUCCGAGCUUAACUCGGAAAGGUCAACUGAUACUGUGCGGCUAGAGUGCAGAAGGGGCAACUGGAAUUCUUGGCGUAGCGGUGAAAUGCGUAGAUAUCAAGAGGAACACCUGCGGCGAAGGCGGGUUGCUGGGCUGACACUGACGCUGAGGCGCGAAAGCUAGGGGAGCAAACGGG